rnacentral:rRNA from 1 species
CAAUAGCGUAUAUUAAAGUUGUUGCAGUUAAAAAGCUCGUAGUUGGAUCUGUGGUGUGCGGUGGGCUCCGGGCACUUGUUGUCUGAGUAGCUCGCCGCUGCCAUCCUUGGGUGGAACCUGUGUGGCAUUAGGUUGUCGUGCAGGGGAUGCCCAUCGUUUACUGUGAAAAAAUUAGAGUGUUCAAAGCAGGCUUAUGCCGUUGAAUAUAUUAGCAUGGAAUAAUGAGAUAGGACUUUUUCGCUAUUUUGUUGGUUUGCGCGAAGAGGUAAUGAUUAAUAGGGACAGUUGGGGGUAUUCGUAUUCCAUUGUCAGAGGUGAAAUUCUUGGAUUUUCGGAAGACGAACUACUGCGAAAGCAUUUACCAAGGAUGUUUUCAUUAA